UACGUAGGGUGCAAGCGUUGUCCGGAAUUAUUGGGCGUAAAGAGCUCGUAGGCGGUUCGUCGCGUCGGCUGUGAAAUCCCGAGGCUCAACCUCGGGUCUGCAGUCGAUACGGGCGGACUGGAGUUCGGCAGGGGAGACUGGAAUUCCUGGUGUAGCGGUGAAAUGCGCAGAUAUCAGGAGGAACACCGGUGGCGAAGGCGGAUCUCUGGGCCGUAACUGACGCUGAGGAGCGAAAGCAUGGGGAGCGAACAGG
rnacentral:rRNA from 1 species